rnacentral:rRNA from 1 species
CGGAGAAGGCAGACCCGGAGAACUGAAACAUCUUAGUACCCGGAGGAAGAGAAAGAAAAAUCGAUUCCCUGAGUAGCGGCGAGCGAAACGGGAAGAGCCCAAACCAACAAGCUUGCUUGUUGGGGUUGUAGGACACUCUAUACGGAGUUACAAAAGAACAUGUUAGACGAAUCAUCUGGAAAGAUGAAUCAAAGAAGGUAAUAAUCCUGUAGUCGAAAACAUAUUCUCUCUUGAGUGGAUCCUGAGUACGACGGAGCACGUGAAAUUCCGUCGGAAUCUAGGAGGACCAUCUCCUAAGGCUAAAUACUCUCUAGUGACCGAUAGUGAACCAGUACCGUGAGGGAAAGGUGAAAAGUACCCCGGAAGGGGAGUGAAAGAGAACUUGAAACCGUGUGCUUACAAGUAGUCAGAGCCCGUUUAUGGGUGAUGGCGUGCCUUUUGUAGAAUGAACCGGCGAGUUACGAUCUGAUGCAAGGUUAAGCAGCGAAUGUGGAGCCGUAGCGAAAGCGAGUCUGAAUAGGGCGUUGAGUAUUUGGUCGUAGACCCGAAACCAGGUGAUCUACCCUUGGUCAGGUUGAAGUUCAGGUAACACUGAAUGGAGGACCGAACCGACUUACGUUGAAAAGUGAGCGGAUGAACUGAGGGUAGCGGAGAAAUUCCAAUCGAACUUGGAGAUAGCUGGUUCUCUCCGAAAUAGCUUUAGGGCUAGCCUCAAGUGAUGAUUAUUGGAGGUAGAGCACUGUUUGGACGAGGGGCCCCUCUCGGGUUACCGAAUUCAGACAAACUCCGAAUGCCAAUCAAUUUAACUUGGGAGUCAGAACAUGGGUGAUAAGGUCCGUGUUCGAAAGGGAAACAGCCCAGACCACCAGCUAAGGUCCCAAAAUAUAUGUUAAGUGGAAAAGGAUGUGGCGUUGCCCAGACAACUAGGAUGUUGGCUUAGAAGCAGCCAUCAUUUAAAGAGUGCGUAAUAGCUCACUAGUCGAGUGACACUGCGCCGAAAAUGUACCGGGGCUAAACAUAUUACCGAAGCUGUGGAUUGUCCUUCGGACAAUGGUAGGAGAGCGUUCUAAGGGCGUUGAAGCAUGAUCGCAAGGACAUGUGGAGCGCUUAGAAGUGAGAAUGCCGGUGUGAGUAGCGAAAGACGGGUGAGAAUCCCGUCCACCGAUUGACUAAGGUUUCCAGAGGAAGGCUCGUCCGCUCUGGGUUAGUCGGGUCCUAAGCUGAGGCCGACAGGCGUAGGCGAUGGAUAACAGGUUGAUAUUCCUGUACCACCUAGUAUCGUUUUAAUCGAUGGGGGGACGCAGUAGGAUAGGCGAAGCGUGCUGUUGGAGUGCACGUCCAAGCAGUAAGGCUGAGUGUUAGGCAAAUCCGGCACUCGUUAGGCUGAGCUGUGAUGGGGAGAGGAAAUUGUUUCCUUGAGUCGUUGAUUUCACACUGCCGAGAAAAGCCUCUAGAUAGAUAACAGGUGCCCGUACCGCAAACCGACACAGGUAGUCAAGAUGAGAAUUCUAAGGUGAGCGAGCGAACUCUCGUUAAGGAACUCGGCAAAAUGACCCCGUAACUUCGGGAGAAGGGGUGCUCUUUAGGGUUCACGCCCAGAAGAGCCGCAGUGAAUAGGCCCAAGCGACUGUUUAUCAAAAACACAGGUCUCUGCUAAACCGUAAGGUGAUGUAUAGGGGCUGACGCCUGCCCGGUGCUGGAAGGUUAAGAGGAGUGGUUAGCUUCUGCGAAGCCACGAAUCGAAGCCCCAGUAAACGGCGGCCGUAACUAUAACGGUCCUAAGGUAGCGAAAUUCCUUGUCGGGUAAGUUCCGACCCGCACGAAAGGCGUAACGAUUUGGGCACUGUCUCAACGAGAGACUCGGUGAAAUCAUAGUACCUGUGAAGAUGCAGGUUACCCGCGACAGGACGGAAAGACCCCGUGGAGCUUUACUGUAGCCUGAUAUUGAAAUUCGGCACAGCUUGUACAGGAUAGGUAGGAGCCAUUGAAACGUGAGCGCUAGCUUACGUGGAGGCGUUGGUGGGAUACUACCCUAGCUGUGUUGGCUUUCUAACCCGCACCACUUAUCGUGGUGGGAGACAGUGUCAGGCGGGCAGUUUGACUGGGGCGGUCGCCUCCUAAAAGGUAACGGAGGCGCUCAAAGGUUCCCUCAGAAUGGUUGGAAAUCAUUCACAGAGUGUAAAGGCAUAAGGGAGCUUGACUGCGAGACCUACAAGUCGAGCAGGGUCGAAAGACGGACUUAGUGAUCCGGUGGUUCCGCAUGGAAGGGCCAUCGCUCAACGGAUAAAAGCUACCCCGGGGAUAACAGGCUUAUCUCCCCCAAGAGUUCACAUCGACGGGGAGGUUUGGCACCUCGAUGUCGGCUCAUCGCAUCCUGGGGCUGUAGUCGGUCCCAAGGGUUGGGCUGUUCGCCCAUUAAAGCGGUACGCGAGCUGGGUUCAGAACGUCGUGAGACAGUUCGGUCCCUAUCCGUCGUGGGCGUAGGAAAUUUGAGAGGAGCUGUCCUUAGUACGAGAGGACCGGGAUGGACAUACCUCUGGUGUACCAGUUGUCGUGCCAACGGCAUAGCUGGGUAGCUAUGUAUGGACGGGAUAAGUGCUGAAAGCAUCUAAGCAUGAAGCCCCCCUCAAGAUGAGAUUUCCCAACUUCGGUUAUAAGAUCCCUCGAAGAUGACGAGGUUAAUAGGUUCGAGGUGGAAGCGUGGUGACACGUGGAGCUGACGAAUACUAAUCGAUCGAAGACUUAAUCAA